rnacentral:lncRNA from 1 species
UAAGGUGUCAAUCCAAAUGGGUGUGAUGCUAGCAAUCAAGAUGCAAUCAGAUAUCACAGAGUCAAGCCAAGCAAUAACAGGUUUUGGUGUUUCUAACAAUCCUAGGUGAUCAUGUAAAAACAGGAAUUCUAACAAUGACAGGCAAUAUACUCGAUCACACAGCUUGAUGCCAAGCACUGGAUGUGGUCGAGUAUCAGGUCGAGUAAUUUAACAGAAACUGUAAACAGGGUACUCGACUGCACAGUUUGUUACCAAACUACUGGGUGUGGUCGAGUACUUCAAAUGAAACAUGGUAGAAAUGAUAAAACUGAGCAACAAGUAACAAGAUCAAGCAAUCAAUAGCGAUGUAAACAAGGAAAUCAAAUGGAAGAGAAAUUCCCGAGGAUGGGGUAAUCGAGUAGUGAAGUCUCCUUAAUCUAACAGGUGGUUAACAUGCUCAACAAACUAUCCCUAGACAACAAGUUCAAUAACCAAAUCAAAGUGCUACCGCAACAGAGAUCCUCAAGCAAAGCUAGUCCCAGACUCAAUCACCAUUGACGAGAGCUAACUUAACAGGCAUUACGAAACAAUAAAUCUAAGUCAAAACGCUCCCUGUAACCAAUACCUUGGUACAGAGCCACGAAUCUCUGGAAUUAGUGGUUCAGACAUUUCAUCGAACACCUUUUGGGUGCGGAAAUGUCUGGGCUCAGAUUCCAGUUGAUCAGAAAUCAAUCAGCAUUAAGAACAACUAAUCCAGAAGGGAUCUACCAAUCAAACUCAACCACCUAUCAGAUUAAAGAUUCUAAGCUACUCUAACCCAUCCUCAAGAACCCUAAUCACUACUCAAAAUUCAUAACCAAGAACAUAAACCCAGAAAUACAUAAAAACUUCAUAUUAGCAAGAUCUCAACAAGAUGAACAACUUUGUAGAAGAAAUCAAAAGCAAAUACUCAAUAGAUUAAGAGAAAUCUGGAUUACAAAUAUGAAGAAAGCACUAAUUAUUCUGCAGAAAUAAAACUUAGACAGAAUAAAAACUUAGUCUGAAAAUUAUGAGAAACAACCUAUUUAUAGCAAAUACUAGGAAACCCUAAAUCACAAGACGACAAAGUAUUAAGGCGGUUUACGGAGAUACUCGACCCUUGUGAUCGAGUAGAGAGGUUGAAUAAAGUUGGCGCCUUUGCGAUUUCUUGCUCUGGGCAUGUCGUGAUCGAGCAUUUGGGUCGAGUAUGUGCUCGAGUUCUGCUUCAUCCUCUUCUCUUCCUUAUGCUCAAUGUCUGGUUGAGUUGGGAUCUGAGAAGACUGUGAAGCUUGUGAUCAAGUGGCUGCGGGGAGGUGGUGAUCGAGUAGAUUGGUUGGUGGCACGCUCUGGACUGCUUCUUCAACCCUGCGAUCGAGUAUGUGGGUAGACUGUCAGGAUGGACUGCUCCUCUUCCUCUGUAAUCGAGUAGAACUGUGAACUGGCAGGAUGGACUGCCCUGUGAUCGAGCAGAACUGUGAAUUGGCAGAAUGGACUGCCCUGUGAUCGAGCAGAACACUCCUGAUGGUCUGCUGAGCUGACUGCUUCCCUCUCUGCUACUGGUGAUCGAGCAGAAUGGUCUAAAUGUGACUUUCAGCUAUGUUUUUCCUCUUUCUGAACACCAAUAGCCCCGAAGCACCUGAAACAACUCCAGAAUGCAAAAUGCAUGCAAGACUAAUGCUAGACACACUUAAACAUGCAAAAUGUGCAAAAUGAUGAUGAAUGCUAUGAAAGAUGAAUGAAACUAGACUCAAAAUGGUGAUAAAUGGAUGUAUAAAACAUGCAAAUUAUAGACAUAUCAACUCCCCCAAACUUAGUCUUUGCUUGCCCUCAAGCAAACAAGUAAACAUAAGAUGAAGGAGAGGUUUGAAGGUGGGGACUCAGAACCAAAGCAUGCAGACAAAGCAAAUGAACUCAAUGUCCAAGUUAGUAAUUGUGGAAUGCAUAGAGACCAAACUCUACUUAAAAACUAUAGCCAUAUUCAUCACAAGACAACCUAACAUUUGUUCCAAUCUACACACACCUUCAGAUCAUCAAUUCCCUUUAACAUUGAUUAAGCUCAAACCAUGAAUCAAGCAAAACAUUUGUUGAAGAACUCAUUUGGUUUAAGGGACAAGGCUGAGAAACAAAGAUGGUUCCUCUGUAAAUGGUUUCAGACUUUUUCACAGUAACAGGGAACUCUCAUGAAUGGACAGAGCUUUUGUAGAAUGCUAAAGGUUAGAACCAACCUACGCAUACAAGAACAGACCCCAUCUACCCAAAUAACCAUAAGUAUAUCAAACCCCAUAGAUGGACCUAUCUCUAAACCCAUAAAUGAUCCUAAUUCUACCCUUUGCACUCAAGGCAUGUUUCAAUAAUCUCUUGGAUCAACCCAUUCUUUCUUUUUUGUUUUGUUCUAAGGAGAGGUUUUCUUUUAGACUUUCUAGCGGAUUGGGACUUUCUUUAACAACUAAGGCUCUUCUUUUCAUCUCAUGACUUAAGACAUUUCUAGGCUUUUGCCUUUCUUUUUACUUUGCACAGAGCCUAACUUUUUUUAUUUUCAAGCUUCCCAAAUCCUUUACUAGACUAACAUGAUAUUCUUUUCUGUUUCACUUCCAUCUCCUAAGAACAAUAACACUUGUCUUUCUUUCUCAAUUUUAUUCCAAACACAUUCCCAAACCCAAAGUAAAACUCCCACCUAGUCCUAUCUAGCCCAAAAAGCGUGGACUAGAAAUACAUGGGAUACCAUUCUUGUCGGUUCAUACCUAACACUUUCUACCAAGCUCAAUCCGGAAAUAGGCCUCACACACACAAAUUUAUUCAGGGCUUGAAAGAAAGGUUAGGUUCAGGGUGGGGGAAACUGUUCCAAUGAUGGGAAUCAGCUACUUGGAUUAGCAAGAGUGGUAAAAGGUGAAAGAAAGUCCAAGUAUGUGUAUUGGUAGCCACAAGUUCAACAACAAUGCAAAGACAUGAUAAUUAUAAGUCAAGUUCAGGUUCUAAUAGAUAGGGAAAAGAAUCACAUCAAGCAUGCUUCAAUUAAAACAAGAGAGUCAAGUUGUGAAUUCCAAAUAUGGUGCAGUCUUAAUUCAAGUUCUAUCACAAGCAUUAAACAACUAACAACGAGGGCAUUGAAUUCAUUCAGUAAAUGAGCAUGCUUACAAGGUCAUAUCAUCAUCAUCCCCUAUGCAUAUGCAUGAUGCAACAAUCAUAAGUGAAAGCAUACUAAAACAAUCCUAAAAUGACAAUGCAAACUACAUGAUCACUCUGUUUUUGCGAAAUCAUUUUCAAAAAUUUUUCAAACUUUUAGGAUUUUUUCAAUGACAUAAAUGAAUGCAGACAAUAUGUACAAUGCAAGAAAAAUUUGAAAACAAGGACAAAGCAAACUCAUCAGAUACUUCCUGAGCCCUCCCCCAAACUUAAAUCACCCAGUCCUCUGUGUGACCAUACUUGGAAGAGAGUACUCAAGACAAAUAAAUAAAGAAAGAAGACAUGAAAUGGUAUAAACAGUGAGAAAUGGAGUUGUUACCUCAACUGAAGAAGGAGUUGAUGUGCUCAUCAAUGUCUGCUUUGUGUAAACUGCCAGGCAAUUGAGGAGUCUUGCUGUUGUGCUUCUGCUCCUUCUCCUUCUUGAUGCUCGACCAUGUCAUCUCAUUACCAUGUGGCUUGUGUUGGUCGAGUAUGAUGUUGAUUUUGAAAAAUUUGGAUCAAAAAUCACAUCAUACUCGACUGCAACUCUUCAUUACUAUGUGGCCUCUUGUGAUAGAGUGACAUGUUGAAAAUCCAAAAAUCUUGGAACCAAAACCCCACUGCAUACUCGAUUGCACUGUACCACUGUCAUCCCAUAUGCUUGAUCGAAUAUAACCUCCAAAAUUCAAAAAUCAAGACCACUUCACUUUGCACUUGAUACUCAUUUCCUGAAAACCAAAACACUACCAAACGCAUUAAAAAUAACAAGGAAAUAAAAAUAUGUACAUGGAUAGACAUGGGACUUCCUCCCAAGUGAGCUUGUUUUAAGUCUCUAUGCUUGACUCCUCACACUCAUUAGGCUUAGGGUGGUUUGCAGAGAGGAAACGAGGUCUCCUCUUCUUCUUCAGUAGAUGUAUCGUCAAACUCAACAUGCUCUUCUGAUAGGUCUGGAAUUGGGUACUCAGUGGCCAUGUCCUUGAAGAAACCUUCUUUUUGAUCAGGAGGAUGGUCUUCUUCUCUAGACCAUUUCAAUGUGAAUUCACAUCCUUCUUUGCUGACCAGAGUAGUGGCUCCAUCAUUUUGGACGUCCUUGAUGUUGAGUGGCACUUGGUUGGCUUUUCCAUGGAGCUCCUUGAUUUGAUCCUUCAGCUCUUUCACAAUUUCUACUAACUCCCUUAUGGUUUUGUCCUGCCAUUUGGAUCUCUCCUUGAGCUCUAACCAGCCAUCUGGCGCAAAAUUGCUAGACUCUAGCAGCUUGUCAAGAUGUUUGAUCGAGCUAGAGUUUUCCAGACUAGUUGAAGGUUUGCUCAAGUGUAUACUCGAGUCAGUUGGUUGAACAUGUGUUGAGCUUGCUUCAUAUGCUGCCUUACCCACUGUUUCUGACUCAAACAAGUCUUUUAAGACCUCUGACCCUGCUAUUUCCUUGUGUGAAUCUAAUGACUUACCACAGCUCAAGGUUUCAGUGAGAAGAUAUCCUGCUUCACCAUUCUUAGUCAAAGAAGUGUGUUGGUGAUCUUCCUCAGCAACCUCCUCUAGCAGUUCAUCAGCUAGGCGAUCCAUUAUCUUUACUAAGAAGGUUUGUCCUUCAAUUGUUGGCUUUCUCGUGGCGUCAUUGAUGUCAAACUUCAUUUUGAAAUCAUUUCCCAGAUUAAGAUCAAUCUUCCCAUUCUUAACAUCAAUGAUAGCUCCAGCAGUGGCUAAGAAGGGUCUUCCUCUUCCUAAGAUUAAAGGAUCUUUUGGUUCUGCAUCCAUUUCUAGCACUAUGAAGUCUGUGGGGAUUUCAAAAUUUCCAAUCUUAAUAGGCAAAUCUUCUAAUAACCCAUGCGGUAGUCUGAUAGACUCAUCAGCCAGGAUCAAGGAGAUGUUGCAAGGUUUAUACUUGCUGAAACCUAGUCUCUUGGCCACGGAGAGAGGCAUGAGACUUAUAAAAGCACCUAGAUCACAUAGGCAGUUACUGAAGGCCAAAGGACCUAGAGAGCAAGGUAAGGUAUAUGAACCAGGAUCUCCCAAUUUCUUGAGAAUAAUCUUUGUUUGGAUGAUUUCACUGCACUCAUGAUGCUCCAUAACCAUCCCUUACACUUCCUUUAUUCUCUCCAUGAUCAAGUCUUUCAGAAACUUGUGGGAAUCCGGAAUAAGUGCGAGAGCAUCAACAAGGGGUAUCCUCAAUUCAACUUCUCUGAUGUUCUUGGCAAACAUAGCUCUGUACUUAUCUGCCAACGCUUUCUUGUGACGACCAGGAAAUGGAAGUGGGGGCUUGUAAGGAGGAGGAACAAAAACCUUCUUCUUGUUUUUAGCAGCAACUGGUUGAAGAGCACUGGGUGAUGUUACUGGAAUUGGUGGUCGAGUAACAUGGUCAAGUGGAGGGUCGAGUACUUAUGUUGGCUUGUCAGCUUGAUCUUCAUUGAGACUGAAAUCCUCCCCAAGUUGGUCUGCACUGUCCUCAGUGACUGGUGCGGGGCUAGGUCGAGCUUGCAGCUCUCGACCACUGCGAAGGCGAAUGGCAUUAACAUAUUCCUUCGGAUUCUGAAUUGCUUUCCCUGGGAGUUGCCCUGGAGGUUUUGGAGCAGAAGUAGAUGCAGAUUGUCCUUCCAAGUAUCGGACUUUGGAAUUCAGUGCCUCCACUUUGACAUUUAAGUCAUAGUAGCUACAGUCCAGCUUAUUGUGUAAUUCAGAAAUCUUCUUAGCAAUCUCCAUGGAGCCAGAUGCUUGUCCUUGGAGAAGUUGUUGUAGCAUUUGCUUCAUUUCAGAAUCAGGGGCAGCAUUACCUUGGUGUUGCUGAGGUGCAAACCCAGGUGGUGGUUGCUGCUGGUAGUUCCCCUGAAAUUGUUAUUUGGGAGCAAAACUUUGGUUGUAGGGAACAAAAGGUUUAUUCUGACCCUGCUGUUGUUGUGGAGGAUAAACUUGAUCCUGUGGAUUAGCAACGUUGGUGCUGCGGUAAGAAAGGUUGGGGUUGUUAGUCUUGAAGUUGUUAUACCCUUUGUAGCCACCUUGAUUGUUGAUGUAGCUGACCUCUUCUAACUGGUUCCCCUCCCCAUCUUGGACUUGAUACUGCUCGUCAUCAAAUAGAAAGUGCACAUGCUUCUGCUGGCCAAGGAGAAGCCUAUCCAGUUUUUCAUUAAGAGCUUUCAUCGCUUUACUAUGCUUUGCAUCCGAAUCUCCAAUAUCUCUGUUAGAGCGAUCAAAAUCCUCGUUAUAAUUACCAUCGGAUUGAGCUAAGUUCUCAAUUAAUUCCCAGCCUUCUUCAACAUCCUUAUUCAAUAAAUUCCCAUUAGAAGCAGUGUCCAGCAACAUUCUGAUCUUGGGCAAAACUCCCCUGUAGAGUGUGCUUAGUAGAGAAGCUUUCUUGAAACCAUGGUGUGGACACUGUAUAGUGUAGCUUUUGAAUCUCUCCCAGACUUCACAAAUGGAUUCAGACUGCUUUUGGGUAAAAUUGGAGAUUUCAUUCCUAAGCCUUGCAGUUCUUGAAUUUGAGAAGAACUUUGUUAAGAAGGCCUUCUUGCAAUCGUCCCAAGAUGUGAUGGAGCCAGCAGGCAACGUCUUUUCCCAUUGGUGUGCUUUGUCUCCCAGUGAGAAGGGAAACAGGCGCAGCUUGAAACUGACCUCACUAACACCGUUUAUCUUGGUCAGGCUGCAGAGCCUGUCGAAGUUAUCCAAGUGGUCUAAGGGAUCUUCCAGAGGCAGACCAUGGAACUUGUUUCCUUGAAUCAUCGAGAUGAGACCACUUUUAAUCUCGAAGUUGUUGUUUUGGACAGAAGGAGGCACAAUUCCUUGCCUCUGAUGGUGGUUUCUUGGUGCAUCUCCAGCACCAAUGUUUGCAGGCAGAUUGUUGACAUCUUGUUCAUCAGCCAUUCGGAAAGGAUGGUUGUGUUCAAGGUCUGUAGUGUCUCUCCUUUCCCUUAGUUCUCUGUCAAUACGGUCAAUGUUAUCGUUGAAAAGGAGGUUCUGGUUGCCUUUUGAUCGAGUUUGCAUACAGCAGGGUUGUACCUGGAUCAAGAAGACAACAAGAAAAACACAAAGUUAGUAGCCUAAGUGAAAAUUGAAAUAGAACUUGAUCUAAGCAAGUCUGAAAUCUCAAAUGUAACAAACAAACACCCAAAUGGCAACGGCGCCAAAUUGAUAGUAGGAUUUUAGCUAAGAUCAAUUAUCUUUAAAGUACUAUCAUGUCAUUGCAGUAUUUAAGGUGUCAAUCCAAAUGGGUGUGAUGCUAGCAAUCAAGAUGCAAUCAGAUAUCACAGAGUCAAGCCAAGCAAUAACAGGUUUUGGUGUUUCUAACAAUCCUAGGUGAUCACGUAAAAACAGGAAUUCUAACAAUGACAGGCAAUAUACUCGAUCACACAGCUUGAUGCCAAGCACUGGAUGUGGUCGAGUAUCAGGUCGAGUAAUUUAACAGAAACUGUAAACAGGGUACUCGACUGCACAGUUUGUUACCAAACUACUGGGUAUGGUCGAGUACUUCAAAUGAAACAUGGUAGAAAUGAUAAAACUGAGCAACAAGUAACAAGAUCAAGCAAUCAAUAGCGAUGUAAACAAGGAAAUCAAAUGGAAGAGAAAUUCCCGAGGAUGGGGUAAUCGAGUAGUGAAGUCUCCUUAAUCUAACAGGUGGUUAACAUGCUCAACAAACUAUCCCUAGACAACAAGUUCAAUAACCAAAUCAAAGUGCUACCGCAACAGAGAUCCUCAAGCAAAGCUAGUCCCAGACUCAAUCACCAUUGACGAGAGCUAACUUAACAG